AACACAAUAUCUAAUAAAAUACAAUAACAUAUAGUACUUGAUGCAAUUGUGAAUCGAAGAUUGGUUAGAUUUUGUUAAUCCGUUCGUUAAUGAGGGAAAAACAGAUGUAUGGAAUUUGGUCAUCACCUGAUAGAACAAUGGAAUUGGUUUGAUCGCCUACACGAGUAGCUCCUUUCUUUUAUUUCCUGUCUCUUUCUAAAUUUUUCUAAAUUUGGGUCAAAAAAGUCCGUUGAACUAUUGAAAAGUAAAUCAUAAUGUUUAGGGUCUGAAAAAUUAAUGAAAGUGAUUUGGAGGAACAAAUAGACCAAAACAAGCUGUACCUUCCUUUCUUGAUUCUGCUAGCAUAUAUAAAUAAUAUAGCUAUAUCCUAUUUUCAUAAUCCUUAACACUUGUAAUUGUCAAAUUUUAACGGUAAGGUUUGUCCUCAGUAUGAAUAUACACAUGUUCUUGUUUGAAAAAUGAUUAAAAAAAUUAUUUUAACCUUGAGUACAAUGCAAUUUUGGCUAUUCCAUGGUCACCUGUUGCUGCUCUGGAAAUUUGAUCAGGCACUUUCUGUUUAGCCUGACGCAGUUUCAGCAGCGGAUGAUCAGCUUGUAACAUGAGAUAUUAUUGCCUUGAUAAUGGUUAUUUUCUAGAGUGUCUGAUGUAAAUUACAACUCUCAGAUCUAGGAAACAACUAUUGUUUGGGAUUCUACAACCAUAAUUUCCAUUUUGUUAUAGGCUCCAUUGGUAUACCAUUGAAACCAUAAUUUGACUAACCAUGCAAAGCUAGGCAGCUCAGACGUCCUCUGGAGGUUAUUUCCAAAGCAUUAAGUACUCUCGAGUUAACUCAAACAAUUCCUUUUGAGCUCCUUGGCAUUUGCUGAAUACCCAGAACAAAUGCUUAUGUACGUAAUCUGCAAAAAAUGGAUUGACAUUGUACCUGCUAUGGUCCUUUAAAUGAAGACACAUUCAAGGAGAUUUGUUGCAAAAUAUUUAAUAAUUUACUUUCUGGCACUACACAAUUAAGGAUUGUAUGAUUCAUAAAACUUAAAGAAAUUUCAACUUAAAAACUCAUAAAACUUACAAGUUAAUCUCUGCAAAAUAAAAUGUACAAUGUU